rnacentral:lncRNA from 1 species
GGAGGUUUGUGGGAGUCAGUGGCAGUGUCUGUGAAGAUGGAUUAGAAGUAUGUGGGAAUCAAUAAAGGAGGGUUCUCGAUUUCUUGAUUGGCACAGUCCUUUCUGGCAACAGUAAUGAUGUAUCCGUCUGUGACAGCAUCCCAAGAAUGAGUCUGGUUUCUGGAAAUCUGUUCUGACUCCAUGGCAGCUAGGAUGGAUGUGUCUUUGCCUGUGGUUAAAAAACAAAGAAUUUACUGAGCAUGACACAUUUGACCUCCUUGAAUCUGUUCCUUAUAAUAUCCUGGCAGAAUACUUCAGUAAAGAUAAAACCACAAAAUCAAAACUUGAAGCUACUUUUAGAAACUGCUCUUCAUUGAAAUUAAAGUCAAACUAAUGCUAAUUAAGAUGGGCCAAGACAAGAUUACAAAUAAAACGGAUAUAAGAUUUUGACCA